GUUCGCUCGAUGAUAAUGUAUGUAGCUACGCUGCUGAACAAAUAGACCGACGAACCUGGUGGCGGUGCCAUACGACUGUAGUUUGAUUAUGUCAAAUGCAAAUGACUUUUGAGAUAAAUUGGGUUGGUGAGAAUCAAAUCAAAGAGACCGAGAAAGAGGGCGAAACGGAGAGAAGCCAUUAAAAUGCACUGAGAGAGCUUGAUUGAUUGGAAAUGAAGAGAAGCCCAUCACGAAGUCUUCGAAUCAAAUCCGACGUCGAAAACGAAGAUCAUGAACAGAGGCAGCAGGCACUUAGAGUUCUCAAUCAGUUCAUCUC